rnacentral:rRNA from 1 species
GACGAACGCUGGCGGCGUGCCUAACACAUGCAAGUCGAACGGAACUAUUUUGAAGGAUCUCUUCGGAGUGACGGAUUUUUAGUUUAGUGGCGGACGGGUGAGUAACACGUGAGUAACCUGCCUCUGGGAGGGGAAUAACGUUCUGAAAAGAACGCUAAUACCGCAUAACAUAUAUUUGCCGCAUGACAGAUAUAUCAAAAGAUUUUAUCGCUCAGAGAUGGACUCGCGUCCGAUUAGUUAGUUGGUGAGGUAACGGCUCACCAAGACCGCGAUCGGUAGCCGGACUGAGAGGUUGAUCGGCCACAUUGGGACUGAGACACGGCCCAG